GACCUAGCGUAGUUCGGAAUUACUGGGCUUAAAGAGUUCGUAGGUGGUUGAAAAAGUUGGUGGUGAAAUCCCAGAGCUUAACUCUGGAACUGCCAUCAAAACUUUUCAGCUAGAGUUUGAUAGAGGAAAGCAGAAUUUCUAGUGUAGAGGUGAAAUUCGUAGAUAUUAGAAAGAAUACCAAUUGCGAAGGCAGCUUUCUGGAUCAUUACUGACACUGAGGAACGAAAGCAUGGGUAGCGAAGAGGAUUAGAUACCCUCGUAGUCCAUGCCGUAAACGAUGUGUGUUAGACGUUGGAAAUUUAUUUUCAGUGUCGCAGCGAAAGCGAUAAACACACCGCCUGGGGAGUACGACCGCAAGGUUAAAACUCAAAUGAAUUGACGGGGACCCGCACAAGUAGUGGAGCAUGUGGUUUAAUUCGAAGAUACGCGCAGAACCUUACCAACACUUGACAUGUUCGUCGCGACUUUAAGAGAUUAAAGUUUUCGGUUCGGCCGGACGAAACACAGGUGCUGCAUGGCUGUCGUCAGCUCGUGUCGUGAGAUGUUGGGUUAAGUCCCGCAACGAGCGCAACCCUCACUUUUAGUUGCCAUCAUUUAGUUGGGCACUCUGAAAGAACUGCCAGUGAUAAGCUGGAGGAAGGUGGGGAUGACGUCAAGUCCUCAUGGCCCUUACGUGUUGGGCUACACACGUGCUACAAUGGUAUUUACAACAGGAAGCAAGACGGCGACGUUAAGCAAAUCCUCAAAAAAUACCUCAGUUCGGAUUGCACUCUGCAACUCGAGUGCA
rnacentral:rRNA from 1 species